rnacentral:rRNA from 1 species
AUGCCCGUGGCCGCCGCGGCAGCCAUCAACGCCGACGGGAUUCCACCUCGUCGCGAUGUCGAGAUCGGCGGUAUCGACGCGGCGACGCUGGAGGCGUACCCGGCGGUGGUCUACGGGGAGGCGAGGAAGCCGGCCACGGAGGAGCAGCAGCCGGCGUGCUGCGCCGUCUGCCUGGAGAGGUACGCGGACAGCGACGUGGUCCGGGUGCUGCCGGACUGCGGCCACCUGUUCCACCGCGGGUGCGUCGACCCCUGGCUCCGGCAGCGGCCGACGUGCCCGGUGUGCCGGACGUCGCCUCUGCCCAGCCCCGUGCCCACGCCUCUCGCCGAGGUGACGCCGCUGGCGCUGGUGAGGGUGAUGCCGGCGUGA